AAGAGACAGCAGCAGCCGCGGGAAUACGUAGGGUGCGAGCGUUAAUCGGAAUUACUGGGCGUAAAGCGUGCGCAGGCGGUUGUGUAAGACAGGUGUAAAAUCCCCGGGCUUAACCUGGGAACUGCGCUCGUGACUGCACAGCUAGAGUAUGGCAGAGGGGGGUGGAAUUCCACGUGUAGCAGUGAAAUGCGUAGAUAUGUGGAGGAAUACCGAUGGCGAAGGCAGCCCCCUGGGAUAACACUGACGCUCAUGCACGAAAGCGUGGGGAGCAAACAGGAUUAGAUACCCCGGUAGUCCCUGUCUCUUAUAC
rnacentral:rRNA from 1 species